rnacentral:rRNA from 1 species
AUUGAACGCUGGCGGCAUGCCUUACACAUGCAAGUCGAACGGCAGCACGGGUGCUUGCACCUGGUGGCGAGUGGCGAACGGGUGAGUAAUACAUCGGAACGUACCUUAUCGUGGGGGAUAACGCAGCGAAAGCUGUGCUAAUACCGCAUACGCUCUGAGGGGGAAAGCGGGGGAUCGCAAGACCUCGCGCGAUUAGAGCGGCCGAUGCCUGAUUAGCUUGUUGGUGGGGUAAAAGCCCACCAAGGCGACGAUCAGUAGCUGGUCUGAGGGGACAAUCGACAUCGCUGGGACUGCGACACUGCCCAGACUCCUACGGGAAGCAGCAGUGGGAAAUUGUGGACAAUGGGGGCAACCAUGAUCCAGCAAUGCCGUGUAAGUGAAGAAGGCCGUCGGGUUGUAAAGCUCUUUAGUCAGGGAAGAAACACCGGCUCUCACACAGUCUGGGGAUGACGGUACCUGAAGAAUAAGCACCGGCUAACUACGUGCCAGCCGCCGCAGUAA